CGUGUUGCCCGUUGUUCCCCUAAUAGUGAAAAUCGCAAGAAUUUUUUUCCUGAAGCACGUAAAACAGACUUUAGUGUACUUUAGUGUACUCACGAACUGAUAACUACGAUGUUGUCUUCGUCCCGAUCAGCUGGGUCUGCAUAAUUUUUCUCUCUCUUAGAAUAGAAUUGCAUAACAAGGUCGAGUACGAAGUUGGCCCGCAUGCGCACGAAAUUUUCAAUUUCAUUGAGACAUGUGCCACAGGUUGCGGGGAGAUAUAUGUAUAAAAAGGGCAAAUAUAGUACUUUUUGAAAUAUUUUAAUAAUAUUUUUUAUAAUCGUCACUGUGAUUCGUAAGUUUUAAUAUUAUCAGCACACAGAGAGUGAACUUCCAAAAGUAUGAAAAUUGGCAAUAUCUCAAUCUAUCUUUAUUCCAUUUUUUUUUCAAACGGCUGGAGAGCAAACCUUGACCUCAGCUCAAAUAUUAGCUAUCAUCGUGGUUGUGCAUUUUGUCGUCAUCGGCUUCGUGAAUUGCUCGGCAAGAAUAUCCCAAUUCAGUUGAGCAGAAUGUGCUUCAUAUUAUUCUACGGGUUAUGACUACACCACAGACAUCGCGGUCUUGAAGUUGUUCCAUUUUGAGGCUGUUUAGAAGUAAACGAACAUUUGUUUGUGCACCGUUCAAUUUUGACUUAUCUUUUAUCUAAGGUAUUAUAAAAAGCGGAACUGAAGAGUCAGAUAUUAUAUAAUUGAAGACGACCCGCUGCAUAUAGGAAACGGGAGAGAGAGAAACUAGAACAUAGAGAGUCCAACUAACCAGCUGGUAGAGCGCUAUCAUGACUUCACCAAAAAUUUCUGCUGACAAAAGUUCAUCGAAUGCGACUAAGCAAAAUGCUGUUGAUUCUAGCCAGGAGGGUGCCGCAGAGAGUAGUGCACCUGAUAACGCUAUUGGCGUUGUUCCGGUCGGCGAUGGGAUACGAGAUGCAGGACCAUAUGGUGUUUUCAGCUGGAUGAAAGUUUUCCGUUUUGCCAAUUUGAUGAUCAAACAAGGAUGCUAAGAAAAAAGUAGCAAAGAUGGCUAAGUAUACUUUCGUGCUAUAAUAAAUAAAAUUAACAAUUUCCUAUUUAUAGAGAGAAUUUCAUGCAGCGUAGGGUUAGAUCCGUUUCUUGUUUUUGAAUAAGUAAUAUUUAAAAGAUUGUAAUAGAAACAGAUAAACACCAGAUAGAUUGUGAGUAUGUGGUAUUUAAAAUAAAGAUUCUAUCAAUGAAUAGUCCUACUUAAUGCAAA